rnacentral:piRNA from 1 species
UAUUGUCAGGAGAACAAACUGGGUACC